UACGAAGGGGCUAGCGUUGCUCGGAAUCACUGGGCGUAAAGGGUGCGUAGGCGGGUCUUUAAGUCAGGGGUGAAAUCCUGGAGCUCAACUCCAGAACUGCCUUUGAUACUGAAGAUCUUGAGUUCGGGAGAGGUGAGUGGAACUGCGAGUGUAGAGGUGAAAUUCGUAGAUAUUCGCAAGAACACCAGUGGCGAAGGCGGCUCACUGGCCCGGUACUGACGCUGAGGCACGAAAGCGUGGGGAGCAAACAGG
rnacentral:rRNA from 1 species